AAUGCCAUCGACGCCUUGAUGACUGCGGCUCCAUUUGACGACACAGAUGUCGCCGUUGGACAUGCGAAUCGUGGCGUGGAGCGGGCGCAGGCUGACGUCGACGCUCGGAUCGAGCGGCGCACAGCGGCAAUCGGGGUUCGUGUGCGGAUCAUCCCCACGCCCGUGGCGCGGCACAGCGGCGGGGCGGUUCGGGAGGUGCCACGUCAUGCAACGUGUGGUCGCACCGCUCGACCAUGUAAUCUGUCCCAUUCCCAGCCGGACCCACUUGCCGGGCAUGGCUCCGGCAAAGACCGUGCCGUCUGGCAGGGUGAGUCGACCUCGGGUGUACUCGCCAUUGGACCAUCCCCCGGUGUAGGCGGUGCCGUCUGCAUAGGUCGCCGUGCCCUGGCCGCAGGGAAAGGCCCACGCGGUUUGGGCGUCCCGGUUGAGAUCUGUCGGCUGGGGCCGGUGCGGGACCUUGCCGUGCUGCCCGAUUAGCGACCACCAGCGGCGCAGGCUCGCUUCUACCGAGGGUUUGAUGGCGAGGGGCACACACGCACCCUCCCAAAGUACCAAUUGUCCCUCGUACGACCAUGCGCCGCCUCGCGCGCCGUCGCAGGGGCAAUCAGUCCGGCCGUCCACCCGGCAUCCGCACACACGCCCGUGCGCGAGACAGGUGCCACGAUUCCAUCCAAACAUAACGCCGUCCAGUGUGCCCUGCCCGUGCGGCACGCCGUCGCACCACUCGCCCUCGUAGACGGCGCCGUUUGUAAACACGGCACGCCCGCGGCCGCCCGGCAGAGCCUCGUCGCCCCAACCGCCCAAGUAAGAGGCAAACAAGUGGCCUAGGUAAAGGCGGUAGGGAUGCCCAAGAGCGCGACGGCACUCGCCGCAACCGCAGAAUAUGUCGGUGCCCUCUGGACGUUGGUACGCAUCUAGGCCUCCAAAGGGCGGCGAGGACACACGACGCAUCGAAAGCCACCAUUUGGUUUUGCUAUCGCCUUGAGGGUAAUGACCAUGUUCCAUGACGGUCACGCCUACGAUCUCGGCGUUGGGACACGCCUGCGCCGCGGUAAAAGCAUAUAGGACCCUAUGGUUGCUGUCGUAUAGGCCACACCUGUAAAAGGGCGGUGCCGACUCGUAGCCGCAACGCAGAGGCCUGUCGGACCCGCGGCAAUAGAUGUCGACGGUGGACGCGGCAUAGAGUUGCAGCCAGCGCACCCCGAACCGCUCGCGCUCCGCGUGCAAGGCGACUCGGUCGGCCCCGAGGUCGCGGCGGCACCGAAAUGCCCAUGCGCCCUCGUCGCCAAAGAUCAUCGAGGCCAGAAAGCGUGACACGAGACCCAAUGUCACAACGUCGAGCACGCCAUGGCGGGUAGACAGGAGCGCGUCGACGAUGGCCCACCACAAUUCGACAGGGAGCAGGUCUGAUGGGCACCGUGCAAGGCCAGUACCGUCCAGAAAAGAGGCCAUUUCUUUGUGAGAGUGCGCCAAGUGGACUUUCAACAAAACCAUGUGGCGGCGGCAUGGGUCGGGGUGAGUCGAUUGUGGGCCAAUGGAAUAUUUUUUGUGUGCACGGCAUCGACCAUGGUAAAAGAGAAAAAAUGCGCAAGAGCAUCUGCCGGGG
rnacentral:lncRNA from 1 species